UACAGAGGGGGCAAGCGUUGUUCGGAAUUACUGGGCGUAAAGGGUCUGUAGGUGGCCAACUAAGUCAGACGUGAAAUCCCUCAGCUUAACUGGGGAACUGCGUCUGAUACUGGUUGGCUUGAGUGCAGGAGAGGAAUGCGGAAUUCCAGGUGUAGCGGUGAAAUGCGUAGAUAUUGGGAGGAACACCAGUGGCGAAGGCGGCUCACUGGACCGGAACUGACGCUGAGGCGCGAAAGCGUGGGGAGCAAACAGG
rnacentral:rRNA from 1 species